CAGUUUGUCAGAGAUCAGCUGUGCUUCUCUGGCCUCAGCUCUGAAGUCCAACCCCUCCCAUCUGAGAGAGCUGCAACUGGGCUACAACAACCUGUCUGACUCAGGAAUGAAACUGCUGUGUGAUUUUCUGAAGAGUCCACACUGUAGACUGGAGAUUCUGGGAUUGAGGUACUGCAGUUUGUCAGAGAUCAGCUGUGCCUCUCUGGUCUCAGCUCUGAAGUCCAACCCCUCCCAUCUGAGAGAGCUGGUUUUGAGUGACAACAACCUGCAAGCUUCAGACAUGAAGCUGCUGUCUGUUCUUAAGAAGAGUCGACACUGAAGACUGGAGACUCUGAGCUGGGAGUGAUGAUCUCUGUAAGAGUGUGAGUGAACAUCCAGGAGUUUGUGUUGAGAGAAAAUCAGCUGUAUCCUGAUGAUCCAUCUGGACUGGAGUCUAGAUCUUGAUUUUUUUUGAGUCAACACUUUACAAAUGUGUUAUACAUGAACUGUUUGAUGCAGAAAAGAUGUCUGAUGAGACUUUGACCCUGGGCCCAUAUUUAUCAAGCGUCUCAGAAUCACUGAGAGUUAACUGAGGACUAAAACUAAUUUAUGAAGCAGAAGAGAAUUUACUCUGCAUGAAUGCAGCUUGUUUUUGUAUAACUUGACACUGAGUGGUGGGAAAUGAAUUAGUGCUGAUUAUCAGCACAGAUAAAUAUGGGUCCUGGUCUUUACUGUCAGGGCUCUGGAUCAACCUGUUUGAGGAGCACAGUCUGAUAAGUCAUUAUCUUCCUUUAAAUCACUUCAUCAAACUCAUUUUUAUCCACUGAUCUACCAAUUAUUUUUGUUUUAAAUGCUGUAUAUCUUAAAUUUGAAUCUAAUGUCUGUUUUACUGGUUUAUUUUCUUCCUGUAUGUUUGUUAGUUUUGUGUAAAGCAUUCUGUAACAUUGGUUUUAAGAAGUUUUAUAGACUUCUGAAGGGAGGGUGGUGGGAUGAUGGUGGUGGG